rnacentral:rRNA from 1 species
UACGUAGGGGGCAAGCGUUGUCCGGAUUUAUUGGGCGUAAAGAGCGUGUAGGCGGCCGAACAGGUCAGCUGUGAAAACUCGAGGCUCAACCUCGAGAGGUCGGUGGAAACCGUGUGGCUAGAGUCCGGAAGAGGAGAGUGGAAUUCCCGGUGUAGCGGUGAAAUGCGCAGAUAUCGGGAAGAACACCCGUGGCGAAGGCGGCUCUCUGGGACGGUACUGACGCUGAGACGCGAAAGCGUGGGGAGCGAACAGG